UGCGUAGGCGGCUUCUUAAGUCUGGUGUGAAAGCCCAGGGCUCAGCUCUGGAAGUGCACUAGAAACUGGGAAGCUUGAGUACCGGAGGGGAGAGUGGAAUUCCUGGUGUAGCGGUGAAAUGCGUAGAUAUCAGGAGGAAUACCGGUGGCGAAAGCGACUCUCUGGACGGUUACUGACGCUGAGGCACGAAAGCGUGGGGAGCAAACAGGAUUAGAUACCCUGGUAGUCCACGCCGUAAACGAUGGGCACUAGGUGUCGGGGGUAUCCACUCCCUCGGUGCCGCCGCUAACGCAUUAAGUGUCCCGCCUGGGAAGUACGGUCGCAAGAUUAAA
rnacentral:rRNA from 1 species